rnacentral:rRNA from 1 species
GACGAACGCUGGCGGCGUGCUUAACACAUGCAAGUCGAACGGAAAGGCCCUGCUUUUGUGGGGUGCUCUAGUUGCGAACGGGUGAGUAACACGUGAGUAACCUGCCCUUGACAUUGGUAUAACUUCAUGAAACUGGGUCUAAUACCGGAUAGGAUCUCCUGCUGCAUGGUGGGGGUUGGAUAGUUUCGGCGGUUGGGGAUGGACUCGCGGCUUAUCAGCUUGUUGGUGGGGUAGUGGCUUACCAAGGCUGUGACGGGUAGCCGGCCUGCGAGGGUGACCGGCCACACUGGGACUGAGAUACGGCCCAGACUCCUACGGGACGCAGCAGUGGGGAAUAUUGCACAAUGGGCGGAAGCCUGAUGCAGCAACGCCGCGUGCGGGAUGACGGCCUUCGGGUUGUAAACCGCUUUCGCCUGUGACGAAGCGUGAGUGACGGUAAUGGGUAAAGAAGCACCGGCUAACUACGUG